rnacentral:rRNA from 1 species
GAAACCAACAGGGAUUGCCCUAGUAACGGCGAGUGAAGCGGCAACAGCUCAAAUUUGAAAUCUGGCGUAAGCCCGAGUUGUAAUUUGUAGAGGAUGCUUCAGGGCAGCGGCCGGUCUAAGUCUCUUGGAACAGGGCGUCAUAGAGGGUGAGAAUCCCGUAUGCGACCGGCUGGCACCCGUCACGUAGCUCCUUCGACGAGUCGAGUUGUUUGGGAAUGCAGCUCUAAAUGGGAGGUAAAUUUCUUCUAAAGCUAAAUACCGGCCAGAGACCGAUAGCGCACAAGUAGAGUGAUCGAAAGAUGAAAAGCACUUUGGAAAGAGAGUUAAAAAGCACGUGAAAUUGUUGAAAGGGAAGCGCAUGCAACCAGACUUGUCGGCGGUGUUCCGCCGGUCUUCUGACCGGUCUACUCGCCGCCGGCAGGCCAGCAUCAUCUGGGCGCGCCGGACAAAGGCGCGGGGAAUGUGGCUCCUCGGAGUGUUAUAGCCCCGCGCACAAUACGGCGCCGCCCGGGUGAGGUCCGCGCUUCGGCUAGGAUGCUGGCGUAAUGGUUGUCUGCGGCCCGUCUUGAAACACGGACCAAGGAGUCUAACAUCUAUGCGAGUGUUCGGGUGUCAAACCCCUACGCGGAAUGAAAGUGAACGGAGGUGGGAAGCGCAAGCUGCACCAUCGACCGAUCCUGAUGUCUUCGGAUGGAUUUGAGUAAGAGCAUAGCUGUUGGGACCCGAAAGAUGGUGAACUAUGCCUGAAUAGGGUGAAGCCAGAGGAAACUCUGGUGGAGGCUCGCAGCGGUUCUGACGUGCAAAUCGAUCGUCAAAUUUGGGUAUAGGGGCGAAAGACUAAUCGAACCA